GUCUGUUUGGAGAUAUAAAGAGUCUGGCCUGCCCACUGAUAAUUUUAAAGGGCCGCGGUAAUUUGACCGUGCAAAGGUAGCAUAAUCGUUAGUUUUUUAAUUGGAAUCUUGUAUGAAUGGUUGAACAAAAGAAUAACUGUCUCUAUAUUUUUCUUGAAAUUUAACUUUUAAGUGAAAAGGCUUAAAUAUUUUAAAAAGACGAUAAGACCCUAUAAAGCUUAAUAAGGUUUAUUAUUUAGCUGAGUUAAUAUAAACAUAAAAGCUAAGUAAAAAAGACUUAUUUUAUUGGGGCGAUAAUGAUAAAAUUUUACUAACUGUUGAUAAAAAUAUACAAGUAUUUAUGUUUGGAAUGUUAAAUGAUCCUAAAAUAAAGAUUAAAAGUUUAAGUUACUUUAGGGAUAACAGCGUUAUUUUUCUUGAGAGUUCAUAUCGAAAGAAAAGUUUGCGACCUCGAUGUUGAAUUAAAAUUUCUAUAUAAUUGCAGAAGUUAUAUUAGAGGGUCUGUUCGACCUUUAAAUUUUUACAUGAUUUGAGUUCAGACCGGCGUGAG
rnacentral:rRNA from 1 species